rnacentral:misc_RNA from 2 species
AACGCACCUUGCGCUCUUUGGUAUUCCGAAGAGCAUGCCUGUUUGAGUGUCAUGAAAAUAUCAACCUUGACUUGGGUUUUGUGCUCUAGUCUCGGCUUGGAAUUGGGUGCUUGCCGCUUUUACGAGCGGCUCACCUUAAAUGUAUUAGCUGGAUCUGUCUUUGAGACUUGGUUUGACUUGGCGUAAUAAGUAUUUCGCUAAGGACAUUCUUCGGAGUGGCCUCGUUUCUAGGACGCUUGUCCGCUUUCCAAUACAAGUUCCACCUCGUGGACAUGACUUUUUAUUAUCUGGCCUCAAAUCAGGUAGGACUACCCGCUGAACUUAA